rnacentral:rRNA from 1 species
AGGGUGCAAGCGUUAAUCGCGGAUUCUGGGCGUAAAGGGUGCGCAGGCGGUUAUAUAAGACAGAUGUGAAAUCCCCGGGCUCAACCUGAGAACUGCGUUUGUGACUGUAUGACUAGAGUACGGUAGAGAGGGGUGGAAUUCCUGGUGUAGCAGUGAAAUGCGUAGAUAUCAGGAGGAACAUCGAUGGCGAAGGCAGCCCCUUGGACCUGUACUGACGCUCAUGCACGAAAGCGUGGGGAGCAAACAGGAUUAGAUACCCUGGUAGUCCACGCCCUAAACGAUGAUCACUAGUUGUUCGGAAAGGUGACUUUCUGAGUAACGUAGCUAACGCGUGAAGUGAUCCGCCUGGGGAGUACGGUCGCAAGAUUAAAACUCAAAGGAAUUGACGGGGACCCGCACAAGCGGUGGAUGAUGUGGAUUAAUUCGAUGCAACGCGAAAAACCUUACCUACCCUUGACAUGCCUGGAAGAUCGCAGAGAUGUGAUUGUGCCUUCGGGAA